GACGAACGCUGGCGGCGUGCCUAAUACAUGCAAGUAGAACGCUGAAGAGAGGAGCUUGCUCUUCUUGGAUGAGUUGCGAACGGGUGAGUAACGCGUAGGUAACCUGCCUUGUAGCGGGGGAUAACUAUUGGAAACGAUAGCUAAUACCGCAUAACAAUGGAUGACACAUGUCAUUUAUUUGAAAGGGGCAAUUGCUCCACUACAAGAUGGACCUGCGUUGUAUUAGCUAGUAGGUGAGGUAAUGGCUCACCUAGGCGACGAUACAUAGCCGACCUGAGAGGGUGAUCGGCCACACUGGGACUGAGACACGGCCCAGACUCCUACGGGAGGCAGCAGUAGGGAAUCUUCGGCAAUGGGGGCAACCCUGACCGAGCAACGCCGCGGGAGUGAAGAAGGUUUUCGGAUCGUAAAGCUCUGUUGUAAGUCAAGAACGGGUGUGAGAGUGGAAAGUUCACACUGUGACGGUAGCUUACCAGAAAGGGACGGAUAACUACGUG
rnacentral:rRNA from 1 species